CCUACGGGAGGCAGCAGUGGGGAAUUUUGGACAAUGGGCGCAAGCCUGAUCCAGCAAUGCCGCGUGAGUGAAGAAGGCCUUCGGGUUGUAAAGCUCUUUUGUCAGGGAAGAAACGGUCUCAGCUAAUAUCUGGGGCUAAUGACGGUACCUGAAGAAUAAGCACCGGCUAACUACGUGCCAGCAGCCGCGGUAAUACGUAGGGUGCAAGCGUUAAUCGGAAUUACUGGGCGUAAAGCGUGCGCAGGCGGUUUUGUAAGUCUGUCGUGAAAGCCCCGGGCUCAACCUGGGAAUUGCGAUGGAGACUGCAAGGCUUGAAUCUGGCAGAGGGGGGUAGAAUUCCACGUGUAGCAGUGAAAUGCGUAGAGAUGUGGAGGAACACCGAUGGCGAAGGCAGCCCCCUGGGUCAAGAUUGACGCUCAUGCACGAAAGCGUGGGGAGCAAACAGGAUUAGAUACCCUGGUAGUCCACGCCCUAAACGAUGUCUACUAGUUGUCGGGUUUUAAUUAACUUGGUAACGCAGCUAACGCGUGAAGUAGACCGCCUGGGGAGUACGGUCGGCAAGAUUAAAACNCAAAUGAAGUUGAACGGCUAGAGACGUAGACGAGGACGACGACGAGGGAGGAGGAG
rnacentral:rRNA from 1 species